AGAACCUGAAACCGUGUACGUACAAGCAGUGGGAGCCCCACCACUAAGCCAGUGGUGAACUCCACAUACGCAUCCUUUGCUGAGGAUACGGUUAACGGAGCGAAAGCGACGUUCAACCGCAAAAGAAGCAGAGGGGGCUUAGUGGUGGGGUGACUGCGUACCUUUUGUAUAAUGGGUCAGCGACUUAUAUUCUGUAGCAAGGUUAACCGUAUAGGGGAGCCGGAGGGAAACCGAGUCUUAAUUGGGCGUUAAGUUGCAGGGUAUAGACCCGAAACCCGGUGAUCUAGCCAUGGGCAGGUUGAAGGUUGGGUAACACUAACUGGAGGACCGAACCGACUAAUGUUGAAAAAUUAGCGGAUGACCUGUGGCUGGGGGUGAAAGGCCAAUCAAACCGGGAGAUAGCUGGUUCUCCCCGAAAGCUAUUUAGGUAGCGCCUCGUGAAUUCAUCUCCGGGGGUAGAGCACUGUUUCGGCUAGGGGGCCAUCCCGGCUUACCAACCCGAUGCAAACUGCGAAUACCGGAGAAUGUUAUCACGGGAGACACACGGCGGGUGCUAACGUCCGUCGUGAAGAGGGAAACAACCCAGACCGCCAGCUAAGGUCCCAAAGUCAUGGUUAAGUGGGAAACGAUGUGGGAAGGCCCAGACAGCCAGGAUGUUGGCUUAGAAGCAGCCAUCAUUUAAAGAAAGCGUAAUAGCUCACUGGUCGAGUCGGCCUGCGCGGAAGAUGUAACGGGGCUAAACCAUG
rnacentral:rRNA from 1 species